GUAGGUGGCAAGCGUUGUCCGGAAUUAUUGGGCGUAAAGCGCGCGCAGGCGGUUUUUUUAAGUCUGAUGUGAAAGCCCACGGCUCAACCGUGGAGGGUCAUUGGAAACUGGAGAACUUGAGUACAGAAGAGGAAAGCGGAAUUCCACGUGUAGCGGUGAAAUGCGUAGAGAUGUGGAGGAACACCAGUGGCGAAGGCGGCUUUCUGGUCUGUAACUGACGCUGAGGCGCGAAAGCGUGGGGAGCAAACAGGGAUUAGAUACCCUGGUAGUCCACGCCGUAAACGAUGAGUGCUAAGUGUUAGGGGGGUUUCCGCCCCCUUAGUGCUGCAGCUAACGCAUUAAGCACUCCGCCUGGGGAUACGGCCGCAAGGCUG
rnacentral:rRNA from 1 species